CAUGUAUUUUGUCUGUUUAUAUGUGUUUGCUGUACAAACUCCUGCAGACCACAGUGGUGGAUGUCCCUCCUGAAAUGGCACUUUCUGCCCUAUUCACACCAGAAGGCAACUGGAACUCACGUGUGAUUCUCCAUCCUCCUAGCACUUCAUAGAGACAUCUGACCAGAGACUGCCGAUGCACAGGCAGCUGGAGUAUGUGCUGUCUUAUACAGAGAAGGAGUGUGGGAAUAAGUAAACAGAAGGGCCAGAAAUCCUCACUCUAGGGAAGUGUGGAACUGAUAGUGGAAGACUGUCAAUUUAGAAUAUCCCUAGAAUUAUAGGACAUGAGUUCAAGGCAUACAUAAAUCCAGAUUUCAGAGGCUUGAGCUCAGGUAAGACUCUAGACUACAUGACAUUUGUAAGUACAGGAUAUCUACAGUGAUUUCAUGUAUUUAAAACCUUUUCUCAAUCAAACUAAGACAAAUUAGUUUCAACAGAAAAAAAAAAAUAUCCUGGAAGUAAUUCCCAGAAUUUUGAAUGAAGAAAUUUUCAAAAAUUCAAAUUUAAGAUAUUACUUUACUUGAAAACUGUUUCAGGCUGAGGUAGGAUUUGAAUCUUAAUUGUCAUAGCCCUACAAAAUUAUUCUACAUAUAGGAGUUUAUCACAUACAUAAUUACCUUAUUCUAGUUUGUAUUCUAGAACAAACAUGUCUGGAUGAGACAGUUAUUCAGUAAGGAUACUGCUUUUAUUCUUGAAUAAUUCCAUGUGCAGUCAAGCUCUCAGUCAAAUCACCACAACUCUGUAUGCAGAUGAAUUGUCAGUCUCUGCUUGAAUUUACAGGAAAUCUGUAUCUCUGUUACUAAAUGCAGCUGACAGAUCUGAAAAUGUCACAUUUGUUUGUGGAGUAGGCAGAGACCUUACAAGUUCUCACCCCUAUUAGCCUACUACUUAUGUCCUUUGCAGGUGUUAUGAAGUUCAUAUCCUUCUUAUUUUGUGCUAAAUGUCAUUAGCAAACUAAUAAAUGCUAUGGAGAGAAGGAAAAGUUUUUUCCU
rnacentral:lncRNA from 1 species